UACGUAGGGUGCAAGCGUUGUCCGGAAUUAUUGGGCGUAAAGAGCUCGUAGGCGGUUUGUCGCGUCUGCUGUGAAAACCCCGAGGCUCAACCUCGGGCCUGCAGUGGGUACGGGCAGACUAGAGUGCGGUAGGGGAGAUUGGAAUUCCUGGUGUAGCGGUGGAAUGCGCAGAUAUCAGGAGGAACACCGAUGGCGAAGGCAGGUCUCUGGGCCGAUACUGACGCUGAGGAGCGAAAGCGUGGGGAGCGAACAGG
rnacentral:rRNA from 1 species